rnacentral:lncRNA from 1 species
AGUCACGUGGGAGGACAAUGGUGAGAAGAGGGAACCUAAGAAUUCCUGGACUCUGACUGGGCGUGAGAAAUGGCCGGAAGUAGCUUCGAGUCCGUCAUUCAAGCAGUAGAGGCUCUGGAGAAAAACUGGAGCGCAUCUGCUUAAAGGGCCGCCCAGGGUCAGGAUGGAGGGGCAAAGUCCGAGCAGGGUCAGUGGGUUGCUGCUCCGUUUUCCUGUCCUGGGUUCAAGUCACCCUUCCCCCAGGGCUAAGGGCUCAGCGCCCCUACCGUCUCGUUAGAAAUCCUGCCUUCCCAUUCCUAUGGUCCAGUGGUCAGCCCUCCUAGCCUGAGAGGUGCAGCCUUGCCUCUCCGAGGGGAAGCCUGACUCUCCCGAUGGCCAGCCUGGGGCCCCUGGACGGCUCUCCGGGCACUUUCUGAACACACCUCCCUUUAGGACCCAGGGGAAAUAAUUUGUCCCACGCCCAUACCCUGGGCGAGUUCCUGGUUUCUGAGGUGGGAGAGCCAUCACUGGAGAGGUGGCAUUGGCGCCAGUACUCAGGCCAGAAGCCCCUUGUGCCCUGCUCUCAGGGGUUUCCUCCCAUAUUGGAUCACGAUGAAAACUGCACAGAAAGUCCGUGCUCAGUUUCUUCCAUGGUUACAGAACACAGGCCCCAGACCAGGAAGGCAUUCUGCUAAAGAAGGGGACCCGAAACCUCAGCUACCAGCGCCGAUGGUUCAUCCUCCGAGGAAACCUCCUCUUCUACCUAGAACACUAGACCGACCAUGCACCCCUGAGCCUCAUCCUGUUAGAGAACUGCCAGGUGGAACCACACCUUAAGGCUGCAGAACCCUAUGCCUUUACCAUCCUGACCCCUGGGGUGGAGGGCACAGGUGGGCGGGCCUACAAGCUGGCUGCAGAAACCCAGGAAGAGCUGGAGACUUGGCUGUGGGCACUGGCUGGCGCGAGCUGGAGGCGGCUGGCUGGGCUGCUGUCCCCCCUCCCCCCCCACCAAAACCCAAUACUGGGAGCUGUGCCAGGCAACUGGCCAAGAACCCAUCUCAUCCCCAGAGGACAGUGGCUUUCUAGCCACUGUGAGUACCCCCUCCAGCUUCCAGGAGUUGCAUGAGCACUUUGGGAAGGAGAUCCGGGUGCUGCACGUGGUACAUAGAGAGCUCCAGGCAGCCAGUGACAAUGGAGACAGCAGAUCCCAGGCAAAGAUGGAGCAGGAGCUCAACCAGUGUCUGAUGAGUGACUGAGAGAUGGACCCAAAGCUAAGAGGUACCUACUUGCCAAGACAGCAGACUGCUUCAACAGAGACCCAGGUCCUGGCUCUGUCCCUCCCUCCCUCGUCCUUACCCCAUCCCCCCCUCAUCAAAUAACAAGGCAGAAAACAGGCCCAGGUACAACAGCAGGUUCUUUUCCAAUUCCUCAAAGCGCUGCAUGGGGUGGGGGCAGAGACAGAAGAGAAUGUAAACAUUGGGUUCCACCCCCUGGAGCUCAAGGGAAGACCCUUACCCAGAUAGGGACUAACU